GCCUAGCUGAUGACUCCCAAAUAGGACGAAAUGCGCAUCCUGGUU
rnacentral:hammerhead_ribozyme from 1 species